rnacentral:rRNA from 1 species
CGAACGCUGGCGGCGUGCUUAACACAUGCAAGUCGCACGGAAAGGCCCUGCUUUUGUGGGGUGCUCGAGUGGCGAACGGGUGAGUAACACGUGAGUAACCUGCCCUUGACUUGGGGAUAACUUCAGGAAACUGGGGCUAAUACCGGAUAGGAGCUCCUGCUGCAUGGUGGGGGUUGGAAAGUUUCGGCGGUUGGGGAUGGACUCGCGGCUUAUCAGCUUGUUGGUGGGGUAGUGGCUUACCAAGGCUUUGACGGGUAGCCGGCCUGAGAGGGUGACCGGCCACAUUGGGACUGAGAUACGGCCCAGACUCCUACGGGAGGCAGCAGUGGGGAAUAUUGCACAAUGGGCGGAAGCCUGAUGCAGCAACGCCGCGUGCGGGAUGACGGCCUUCGGGUUGUAAACCGCUUUCGCCUGUGACGAAGCGUGAGUGACGGUAAUGGGUAAAGAAGCACCGGCUAACUACGUG